GUCUGUAUAGCAUAGUGGUUUGAGUAUUGGACUAGGACUUAAGAGACCAGGGUUUCAAUCCCUGCUCAGCCA